AAUCCCGGGCCAGAGCCCUCCUUUUCUUUCCUUUUUUUUCCUUUUCCGUUUUCAGUACUGAGGACUGAACCCAGGGCCUUCGCACUGAGCUACAUCCCCACCCCAUUUUUUGAGACAGGGUCUCUCUAAAUUGCCCAGGCUGGGCGCGUACUUUCGAUCCUCCUGCCUCAGCCUCGGGAGUGCCGGGAUUACAGGCGUGCACCAUCACGCCCUGCUCCAGUCGCUCUUUUCGCAGAAAGACAAAGUGGCUUAGUAACCCUACCUGAUCCUUAGGCCACAGCGACCACCCCUCCUAUUUGUCCUGCUGGGCAGGAAAAGCUAAAUGAACCCGGGCUCUGGGCGUUGCUUCCUCCUGCCCUGUAAGGUGGCUGAAGGGGGUUGAAGGGACUUUCUCGGGUUUUAUUUCCAUCCGUUAGUGCCGCUCCCCACCCUAAAGCCACUCAAGGCCUCAUGGCCUCAGGGUUCCCAGAGAGGAACUAACUCUGCAGGGCGGGCGUCCUAAGCAGAAAUCUAGGAGAGGCUCUUCUUGGAACCUGAAGCUCCGUCACCCUGGAAGCCGAAGCUCCAUCACCCUGGAAGCCGACAGAGGAUGCUGGCUCUUCCCUCGGAAACCCCAGAGGGGAGGGAGGAAAAGUUAAUGGACCUCAACUAAGCCCUGUUCACUGAGCGCUGAAAACAAACAAAAGCAGUGACUCUCAGUGCAACAAUUUAACAAUGUCGUCGUUACAGUGUAGCGCUAGAUCUGCGCAGGUCUGCAGCUUGGCUUGUCCCGGGAAAAAGGGGGCUGCCUAAAAGCCGGAAGCUGUGCUCUGCUCCAAGCGCCCACCCUCCUGAAGGUUCUGUUACUUUGGUUAAAUCAUGUCACUUCUCCAAACCAUGGUCUCCUUCUUAGCAUUUAUUGUUUUCUUCCCUCAACAAAAACGGAGAGCCACGAUGUUGCUCGCUGAAGAAAGUAAAAUGAAGAAAACCGGCUCAGCUUCGCAAGGCUCAGCCGCAUGGUGACGCUAAACGGAGGUCUGUGGAAGACGGAGCGCAACGGCCUUGGGGGCGAUGGUCAGAGGUUUGAACAAGCUGAAUUUUGAAGGAUGAAUUCCUCUGGCUCCAAGAAGUUCUGGCUCUACAUUCUCUAUGUUCAAGUCUAACCCAAAAAGAAAUGGAAGAGCUGAGAUGAUAAAGGAGAGCAGAUGAGACAGCCCAGAAAUGAGCAACAGGAGGAAAUCACUGCAAUGGCAGAGCGUGAAAGUUCAAAGGAGCCCAGAAGCCCGGGGCCAUCUGCGCUAAGAUAGGGCUAGGAGCCAGGCAGGCCAUGCGAUCUUCACCAGAGCUACAGCAUGAAGCAGAGGGAGAGGGACGCAUACCUGGCAAUUUCCUCUCUUCCAUUCUCCAAUCUUCCACCGGUGCCUUCCAUUGAAUAAUGCUGGCCAGGGCCAGCUAGCAGGGCAGCCUGUAAUAUUCAGCCUGUGGGAGGCAGGAAGCAGAGAUGGGAAGGGGCUCUGAACACAAAUAGCACUGUUAGUUAGGUUUUCGCCAUGAGCUCCAGGCUUUUGACAGCUUAGAGAAUAAACAUUGCUUUACCUCUCUUGGGAAUCUGCAGGCUAACUCAUGGAGAGGCGAAGCCUCAAGGGCUUGCUGCUUUGAGCUAUGGGUUGCAUAUACCUGUCCACCUCUGUCCCUCAUCCUCAGACUCCAGGGCACGUCUUCUCCUGCAGAUGGCAGAAGUGCAAAGCAGGAAGCAGAAAUGUGAUACUGCCCCAGGCCUCCGAUCUGAAUGGCAGGAGUCACCUUCAACCCACUUUACAUUGCCCAAGGCAAGCCACACAGACUUGCUUAUUCUUGGUAUUUCUAUUACAAGGAGAGGGUGAAGAAUUUGGAAGAGUACUGUGAUACACACACACACACACUGCUUAUCUCCUAAAAAUAUUCUAAGGGAAAUAUCUUAUUUUCUUUAAAUGGGUCACAUGCCCAAUCCUAAACCAAUUACCUGAC
rnacentral:lncRNA from 1 species